rnacentral:misc_RNA from 1 species
GUGGUGGCAGGUCCCAUGGGUUGCAUUGGUAGGUUCGUCUUUUUCUGUCCAGAUUUACUAACUCGCUAAAUAUUUGAUUUUUUAACUCUCAAAACAGCUGCAAAACAGUGCUAGUUUCACAAUGAGUGGUACUUGUGACAGUGGUCUUGAAGCAAAGCUUGAAAAACUUGGUAUUUUUCCGCUGGACAAAUAGCUGGCAUC